UCUCUCUCUCAUCAUCUUGCCAGGAGUAGCCACUGUGCAGUAAACAUUAAUGAUCGGAUAUAGUCUGCACUGACAGUACGGAUCCUUCUCUUCAGCUCUGGAAAGCUCCACCGCCACUUGAAUCCCCUCCUCAAGGGCCACUGCUUCAUCAAGGACUUCAGGAUAAUUGUGCCACUUAUGUCAAGCUUGGUUCAUUGCGAUGCAACCCCCAGCACUCCCUGGAAACUUAGGGCUCCCUAUGCGCAGGCAGCCUCCAGUUCUAGAAGGCUUACAGAAAUAGAGAGAAGGGG
rnacentral:lncRNA from 1 species